CCUACGGGAGGCAACAGUAGGGAAUCUUUCACAAUGGGCGAAAGCCUGAUGGAGCAACGCCGCGUGCAGGAUGAAGGCCUUCGGGUUGUAAACUGCUUUUAUAAGCGAGAAAUAUGAUGGUAACUUAUGAAUAAGGAUCGGCUAACUACGUGCCAGCAGCCGCGGUCAUACGUAGGAUCCGAGCAUUAUCCGGAGUGACUGGGUGUAAAGAGUUGCGUAGGUGGCAUAAUAAGUAGCUAGUGAAAUCUGGUGGCUCAACCAUUCAGACUAUUAGCUAAACUGUUAAGCUCGAGAACGUUAGGGGUAACUGGAAUUUCUAGUGUAGGAGUGAAAUCCGUAGAUAUUAGAAGGAACACCAAUAGCGUAGGCAGGUUACUGGGACGGUUCUGACACUAAGGCACGAAAGCGUAGGGAGCAAACGGGAUUAGAUACCCCAGUAGUC
rnacentral:rRNA from 1 species